UACGGAGGAUCCAAGCGUUAUCCGGAUUCACUGGGUUUAAAGGGUGCGUAGGAGGGCAGGUAAGUCAGUGGUGAAAUCUUCGAGCUUAACUCGGAAACUGCCGUUGAUACUAUCUGUCUUGAAUACCGUGGAGGUGAGCGGAAUAUGUCAUGUAGCGGUGAAAUGCUUAGAUAUGACAUAGAACACCAAUUGCGAAGGCAGCUCGCUACACGAAUAUUGACUCUGAGGCACGAAAGCGUGGGGAUCAAACAGG
rnacentral:rRNA from 1 species